AUGUUGGAUCAACUUAGUGGAGCAAGAGUGUUCACAAAGCUGGAUUUAAGAAGUGGAUAUCAUCAAAUCCGUAUCAGACCCGGGGAUGAAUGGAAAACAACCUUCAAGACCAAAGAAGGGUUGUUUGAAUGGCUAGUCAUGCCAUUUGGACUCUCAAAUGCACCAAGUACCUUUAUGUGCUUAAUGAAUCAAGUACUUCGACACUUCUUGUCCCACUUUGUUGUGGUCUAUUUCGAUGACAUCUUGAUCUAUAGCAAGGAUGAGGACGAACACUUUGAUCACAUUCAGAAGGUGCUAGAAGUACUAAGGGAAAAUGAGCUCUACGUCAACUUGAAGAAAUGUGUUUUCCUGCAAACACAACUUCUUUUCCUAGGAUUUGUCAUAACAUGUGAUGGUAUUCGUGUUGAUGAUUCUAAGGUUGAAGCAAUCCGAGAAUGGCCAACUCCUAAGACCAUUUCUGAGAAGCAGCUGAAGCUAGUUUCAAUGAGAUUAAACAAAAACUAUCACAAGCUCCUGUCUUGA
rnacentral:rRNA from 1 species